rnacentral:rRNA from 1 species
AUUGAACGCUGGCGGCAGGCCUAACACAUGCAAGUCGAGCGGAGCGGCGGACGGGUGAGUAAUGCCUAGGAAUCUGCCUGGUAGUGGGGGAUAACGUCCGGAAACGGGCGCUAAUACCGCAUACUAUCAGAUGAGCCUAGGUCGGAGUAGCUAGUUGGUGGGGUAGAGGCCUACCAAGGCGACGAUCCGUAACUGGUCUGAGAGGAUGAUCAGUCACACUGGGACUGAGACACGGUCCAGACUCCUACGGGAGGCAGCAGUAGGGAAUCUUUGACAAUGGGCGAAAGCCUGAUCCAGCCAUGCCGCGUGUGUGAAGAAGGUUUUCGGAUUGUAAAACUCUUUUAGUUGGGAAGCGUUACCAACAGAAUAAGCACCGGCUAACUUCGUGCCAGCAGCCGCGGUAAUUC